UGGGAUCGUCGGGUCAGGCCUUGGGCCAACGUAGGCACUCUCGCAGUUCCUCCGCCUUCAGGAAGGUCUUUUUGGCAGGGGCCCUACGGGUGCGCGCUUCGGUCCUGGAGGCCUUAUCCAAGCCUCCUCUCCAUCAGCGCCACCCGUCUGGGGUCCGAAAGGAGGGAGCUUUCCCUCUGUCCCCCAGCCUUUGGACUGUCACCAAACAAGCCAUUCGUUCACCAAAUACUUAUUAAGCGCCUACCAGGUACUAUCCUCAAUUGUCUUGUGAUAUUUACAAUCUAGAAGGCAGGAGAGAGAACUAAGAACAGAGAGCGUGUUCUGAGAUGUCUGCUGUGAUUGCAGAAAGAGGCUUCUCCCCAGGACCAGGAUUCCACGAAGGCAGCCCUUUUCUAGAUGGAGAAAAUAGAACCUGAAGGCAGCCGUUUCCCUAAACUGCUCUCGCUCAUGUCUCUCAGAGAAAGGAAAUGAAGCAGUGAAAGCAUCCUCCCAAAAGGGACUUUUAAAUCCUUCUACCUGGGCUGAACUACA
ensembl:lncRNA novel transcript